UACAGAGGUGGCAAGCGUUGUUCGGAAUUACUGGGCGUAAAGGGCGCGUAGGCGGUCUUUUAAGUCUUGUGUGAAAUCCCUCGGCUCAACUGAGGAACUGCACGGGAUACUGGAAGACUUGAGUUCGGGAGAGGGAAGCGGAAUUCCGGGUGUAGCGGUGAAAUGCGUAGAUAUCCGGAGGAACACCGGUGGCGAAGGCGGCUUCCUGGACCGAUUACUGACGCUGAGACGCGAAAGCGUGGGGAGCGAACCGG
rnacentral:rRNA from 1 species